GCCUGGCGUGGUGGCGCGCGCCUGUAAUCCUAGCUACUCGGGAGGCUGAGGCAGAAGGAUCGCUUGAGCCCGGGAGGCGGAGGUUGCAGUGAGCCGAGAUUGCGCCACUGCACUCCAGCCUGGACGACAGGGCGAGACUCCGUCUCAA
rnacentral:SRP_RNA from 1 species